UAGGGAAUCUUCCACAAUGGGCGAAAGUCUGAUGGAGCAACGCCGCGUGAGUGAAGAAGGUUUUCGGAUCGUAAAGCUCUGUUGUUGGUGAAGAAGGAUAGAGGCAGUAACUGGUCUUUAUUUGACGGUAAUCAACCAGAAAGUCACGGCUAACUACGUGCCAG
rnacentral:rRNA from 1 species